AUGGUUGUUGUGGGGAUUAAAUGAGACAAUGCAAGAAGCUGGUUUUCCCAGGGCAAGGCUUAUCCAUUGCAUUCCUAAUGGGCUGACCCCUGUAAUUGCCCCAAAUGCAGAAAAUUCACUGCAUAAUUUGUGGUAAUAGGGAACUGAAUUCCAGCUUUUCCCUG
rnacentral:snRNA from 1 species